CGUUCUUAUCAAAACGAAAAAAUAAUAAACAAGUCUGCCGGCUCUUUUUUUCGCGUCUCGGAAUUUACUAAUACUACUUUUAAAGGUACGAGUUUGCGGCCCACACGUUCGCAAAUCCCACGAAUACUUUAUCAUCCAAACAAGCAAUAAAGUUUAUGUCGAGUGAUAGACUUACAGUUCCAUCUGAAGAAAAAGUAACCAAAGUUUGGUUACCAAACUAACAUUCAUUGUUAUAUUUUGAUAUUGCGAAGGAAAACUGCAGUAACCUUCUAAUAUACCUACAUAAGUGUAACCUAAUUAAUUAUAAGUUUAUUUAUUGUUUUAGGUAUUUGAAAGCGUUAUUCGUUGGGUAAGACAUGAAUUGGGUUCAAAAAAAAAUUGAAACAUUACAUAUAAAAAAAGUAGGUAGUUGAGGAACUUCUUUUUAAGAAUUGUUUUAAAUGUAAAGAUUACAUAAUAGAGGCAUUACAUUUUCAUAUUAUAUUCAAGUCAGAAGAGCUUAUUCCGCAGAACAUCUGGUAUAAAUCCAGACAUGGGGAUAAAGUUAUUUUCGUGAUUGGUGGUGAGAAUAUGGAUAUAAUAGGAAUUGAUGAAAUAGGAAAAAAUAGUAUAGAAUGGUUAGACACAAAAAUUAACAGAUGGCAUUUUGGACCAUAAAUGAUAACAAGCCGUCAAGGAACUAAUCUAGCAGUAGUGAAUGAAAAUUUAGUGUUUGCUGUUGGUGGUUUUGAUGAUUAUGAUGAAUCUCUUCGGUCAGUUGACGUGCAAGAUUUAUCUUCAGAACCGCCUUGUUGGAAACCUAGUGUCGACAUGUUGGCAGAAUCAAUUACAGAGAAGGUAUAUUAAAUAGUCCAGAAGAUUUUGACUACAAAACUCAAGAAUGGCGUAUGCUAAUUUUUAUGUCUACUGAAAAAUCUUUUGUCGGGGUCGUAAUACUGAAUAAUCUUUUAUACGCAGUAGGAGGUUAUGAUGAAUCAUCGCAGGCUUUAGACACUGUUGAAUGUUAUCAUCCCAGUCUUGAUACAUGGACGCCAGUCACAAAAAUGUCUGUACAUCAUAGUGGUGCAGUUGUAGGAGUUUUUGACGGUGUACUAUAUGCUGUGGGUGGUUGUGAUGGAUCAAACAGUCUGAGUAUUGUUGAAGCAUACAGACCAAAUUGUCCAAAUUGACCAAAGUGUUUAGGCUGCUGUUGCAAACAUGAAUUUACCUCAACAAUUGGCCGGAGUAGUUGCAAUGGAUGGUUUAUUGUAUGUUGUCGAUGGAGAAGACGGAACUUCAUUUUUCAGUUCUACAGAAUGUUACAGGCUCAAAACCAAUAAUUGGACUUUGUUAACAGCG